rnacentral:rRNA from 1 species
UACGUAGGGGGCAAGCGUUGUCCGGAUUUAUUGGGCGUAAAGAGCUCGUAGGUGGUUCGGUAAGUCGGAUGUGAAAUCUCCAGGCUCAACCUGGAGGGGUCAUUCGAUACUGCCGUGACUAGAGUUCGGUAGGGGAGUGUGGAAUUCCUGGUGGAGCGGUGAAAUGCGCAGAUAUCAGGAGGAACACCGGUGGCGAAGGCGGAUCUCUGGGCCUUACCUGACGCUGAGGCGCGAAAGCUAGGGGAGCAAACAGG